GGAAACUUUCAUGGCAUCUGAGCUAGGUUAAAUCUCUAGUAACAUCAUGGUUAAACCUUGGUGCGAAUUGCAAAAAAUAUUGGCACACUCGAGAAACGUGUUAGAAGUUCCAUGGGAAAUUGACAAAUGGAAGGAAAAAAAGUGGCAAUGAUCGUGGUUCACAAUCAGGGGAUAGCAGAGCUUUCGAAAUAACUAAAGGAAAUUAUGAGGGCCAAAGUUCUUUGGAAGGGUCUCCAUUCACUGAGGAACAAUUAGAGCAUCUACACAAGUUUUUUCAAUCACCACAAUUUCGGAUGAAUUCUUCUAUUCCUAACUCAUCCAAUAAUCCUUCUUCCUCUUUUGCCCAAUCAGUUUCAGGACAUGGUCUAGGGGAGGAUGAUUGGCAAUGAUAAAGAAUUUGGUGGAAUUUACUAUCUUGAAGAUGACCAUCUAAGUCAACCAACAACUACUUUAUGUUUAAAUUCUGUUUCUGAUUUUGAUAAGGUUAUGAUUUGGCAUUAUAGGCUCGGACAUCCUAAUUUUUACUAUUUAAGAUAUUUGUUACCUAAUCUAUUUAAAAAUAAAAGUCAUUCUUCAUAUCA